rnacentral:rRNA from 1 species
CAGGUUAAGCGUGUUGUGAAAUGUAGGGGCUCAACCUCUGCACUGCAGCGCGAACUGGCUUGCUUGAGUACGCACAACGUGGGCGGAAUUCGUGGUGUAGCGGUGAAAUGCUUAGAUAUCACGAAGAACUCCGAUUGCGAAGGCAGCUCACGGGAGCGCAACUGACGCUGAAGCUCGAAAGUGCGGGUAUCGAACAGGAUUAGAUACCCUGGUAGUCCGCACGGUAAACGAUGGAUGCCCGCUGUUGGCUUGAAUUAGUCAGCGGCCAAGCGAAAGCAUUAAGCAUCCCACCUGGGGAGUACGCCGGCAACGGUGAAACUCAAAGGAAUUGACGGGGGCCCGCACAAGCGGAGGAACAUGUGGUUUAAUUCGAUGAUACGCGAGGAACCUUACCCGGGCUUGAAUUGCAGAGGAAGGAUUUGGAGACAAUGACGCCCCUCGGGGCCUCUGUGAAGGUGCUGCAUGGUUGUCGUCAGCUCGUGCCGUGAGGUGUCGGCUUAAGUGCCAUAACGAGCGCAACCCCUCUCCUUAGUUGCCAUCAGGUAAGGCUGGGCACUCUGAGGACACUGCCACCGUAAGGUGUGAGGAAGGUGGGGAUGACGUCAAAUCAGCACGGCCCUUACGUCCGGGGCUGCACACGUGUUACAAUGGCAGGUACAGAGAGCCGGUCUGAUGCAAAUCAGAUCCAAUCCUUAAAGCCUGUCUCAGUUCGGACUGGGGUCUGCAACCCGACCCCACGAAGCUGGAUUCGCUAGUAAUCGCGCAUCA